AGCAGCCGCGGUAAUUCCAGCCCCAAUAGCGUAUAUUAAAGUUGUUGCAGUUAAAAAGCUCGUAGUUGAGCUUCGGGAUUUGCCCAUUGGUCAGGCUUAACUGUCUGCACUGGUGUGACGAGUUCCUACCUUCUGAGGAAUCUCCAUGUCAUUCAGUUGGUGUGGGGGGAAAUCAGGACUGUUACUUUGAAAAAUUAGAGUGUUUAAAGCAGGCGUCCGUCUGAAUACAUUAGCAUGGAAUAAUAAAAUAGGACGGUUUGGUUCUAUUUUGUUGGUUUCUAGGAUCACCGUAAUGAUUAAUAGGGAUAGUUGGGGGCAUUAGUAUUCAAUUGUCAGAGGUGAAAUUCUUGGAUUUAUUGAAGACUAACUACUGCGAAAGCAUUUGCCAAGGAUGUUUUCAUUAAUCAAGAACGAAAGUUAGGGGAUCGAAGACGAUCAGAUACCGUCGUAGUCUUAACCAUAAACUAUGCCGACUAGGGAUCGGACGAAGUUAAUUUUUAAUGACUCGUUCGGCACCUUA
rnacentral:rRNA from 1 species